rnacentral:misc_RNA from 1 species
UAGUUAUCUUUGUCGUCUUCAGUAUCCUGCAGAAGGGCACCCCUCACUUUUGCCCUGCGAUAUGCGGGCACAACACGAUUAGCAACUUUCUUUGAGACUGGAUCUUGAGCUGAUUGUUUGUCUGGGGAAUCUCGUGAGCCAUUAUUACUUGGAAGAACAGAAGCACCUGUCUUAUCUAAAGAGUUCAUUUUUUGUAACUUCUGCCGCUUCUUCAAUUGGCUCUGGAUACUUCCACUAUCCUCCUCUUCAACUGAUAUUGCUUUUGUCAAUUGAGAGGUGCGUCCUUGCUCUUGUACAACCAAAUUCUGCACAAAUUUAAAAGCCCUGAAGAGCCCAAAGGACAUAUUUUCCAUAGCAUCAUUCGCAGCAGAGUCCACAAGUUUUGUCAGAGAAAUGGAAAUCACAGGCAUUCCUUUUGAUUUCUGAGCAACUAAUUUUGCAUGUAGUGGACCAUCUGGGUCUGAAUUUUUCUCCAGAACAAGCUUUACAUCUUCAGAUUUAAAAGAGGCUACAAUGUAGUCAACAAAGUCAGACCAGGAGCCCCCAAUUCCAAUGCUAUCCCUCAUAUCCUCAAGCUGCAAAACCGAUUUAACGGUCUCUAAUGUGUGUAAGUGAUAAUCAGUUACUUGAAUUUUGAGGUUAUAGUAAUCAGGAGCAAAAAUCCGCAUCAAGAAUCGACGCAAUGGAACCGAAACCGAAUCUGAGCUCCUCGACCAUUCGACUUUGGGUUCAGCAUAGAUGGGUUCAAACUCUUCAAAACCCAUCCUCCUCUUUCACUUGAGGGUUCAAAACCAGAGUUCUGUGUUCAAGGAAAAGGACUACGCCUGUGUUUACUAGCAGAAAAG